GUAAUCCAAAUUAAAAUUUUUGUCUAUAAAAAGCUAAUAAAAACUCUUAUUGCAUAAACAGAAAAAUCAUGAACUUAAUCAUUUUCUCCCUGUGUGUGCCAUCAAUGCAAGUAGAAGGUUAACAGUUGGCUUACUGAACAGAAAACAGAAAAGGAUUGUAUCUAUUGCAGUAAAUCAUAUUACUGUUGAAAACAAUUUCCUACCCCUCCCAGUGAGAAUGCAUACUUCCUAGUCCAGUGGAGAUUAAGACAGAUAUUGUAACCUGCUCUGCUUAAUGGAAUGAGAGAAUUGACGCUUGUCAUUUAUGGGUGGAAAUCUUCAGGACUAGUACAACGAGCAACAUACUCUUUUUCUCUGAUGAGGGAUAAGCGGUAUUGCAAGCACAGCCUUAGCUGCGAGUCUGGAGUCACAGGGAAGGCAGUGUGGGGGAGCAGAAUAGCUGCAGGACAUGUGAGCCUCAGGAUUUUAAGGUUAUUUCCAUUUCCUUAAACACAGGAACUGGUACCUUGAAUAGAGUUCUAUUACAAACCAUACCUAAAUUAUGUGGUGCUGAACUGAAGCCUGGCAGUAGGUGUGAAGAAAACUAUCAUCAGAGGCUGAAAGGAGAGGAAUACAUGCUUUGUGAGGAUGAAACAUUUGGAGAAACCAUUUUCUCAGUCAUUUAAAAGGAGAUAAUGUCCUUCAGGGACUUGUUGCCUUAAGCGAAAGGGCAAGGAACCAAAAUGUGUCUUGAUGGCUGCACUGGACUAGACGGGGAGAGUGCCCAGGCAGAGAGGAGCUCACCUCGGAGAAGAUGCAGUUAUCUCAGAAGAAGUAAUAGUAAUAAUAAAAGAAGACAAAGCCCAGAAAUGUGUCCACCCUCCAGGCGCCAGGGCGGAUGGUGACAGGGCUGGCCAACGUGAAUCGCCUGAGUCAUUGUGUCCCUUGGGUGGUUUUCUGCCUUUCCCGUGGUGGGCGCUCUUUGGCGGCUGCUAACCUGGUGGAACGAGGUCUUCACAUCUCCCGUUCAUUCCUACGUGUCUAUUCACACAGCUCCGUCACAGAACUCCGGGCUCUAGCCUUCCCAGGGUCCCAUGUCCAGGCGCCCCGCUGACCAGCUGGGCCCUCAUUCAUUGUCCGUGAGGCCAUCUGUGACCUAACUUCUGACCUUGUCUCCUUCCACAGGAAAUGGUGGACCAGGCAUCCCCCCGAGUGAGGCUAUGCUAUGGCUACUGUCCUUUUUCAGCUCAUAACCGAUUUAGUGAGCCGACACAUCUACAGCAAGAGCCGAGGCUUGUUCCUCCUCUGCCAGCUGGUCAUACUGAGGCCCCAUGUGUCCACCGGUAUGAACCGACGGAGAAGCCAAGGGGAAAGGCGGAGAGAGAUGUACAGUUCUGGACUUCCCGCUCAUGGGUUGCUCUUCUGCGCCCUCUUUGCUUGUGCAUGAAUCCAGAUGAAUGAGUGACUCCCGUCUAUCUACUCAUCUAACUCAGUGGCUCUGACAUAACUAAGCUUAUGACGCACAGUCCUGAACACAUGGUCACUUGGUGUAUGAAAGUCAGCUUCGCUGUCUCCACUAGGAGCAAUAGUGUGCCCAGUUUUUUUGUCAAAGUGGUAUCAUUCUCUGGUUCAGAGUGCACAGCCUCGGUCUAGAACCCCAGGGAACUUCACUGUCACUCUCCCAAAGAAGCCCAGUACAAGCCCCACAUGGCAUUUUUCCCCUCACAACCUACACCUCUAAUAUUAUUGGAUCAGUGAUGUUUUAUGAUUCAAAAUUCAGGGAUGCUCACCUGGCAGCUUGGAUGUGCUGCAGAGCCCUUUCCUGCUCUUCACGUCACUCAACGUCAGCCGCGUUUCAUGCCACCCGGUAAACGGAGCUGAGCAGUCCUCCUCCAUGGGGAGUCUGCUGCCUCUGGGACCCAAGGCCCACCAGCGUUACCCUUCUUUGUCAUAUGAGAUGCAAGGAUCCUUGCCAGGAUGUUAAAUCCCAUAUCUUGGGAGAGUGCUCCCAAAUCAACAAACUCUCUCCUAUCCACUCUUAAUGUUCCCCUGUCCAGUCUUAUGACUGAGCACGUGCAGAAUCCAGGCCCCUGUGCCCUCCCUUGAUACUGGUAGGAACGGCUGUGUAGGACCUGCACUACGUUGGGGAGUAGUUCCCGUACUCCCGGGUCUCAUAUAGCAGACUACCUUACAAGCAGACGUUUGCCUUCUAGUUUUCAGUAACAUAAAAACAAGAAGAAAUACCUGCUCCAGAUGGGAGCUGAAUAAAUGUAUAAAAGGGGAAUGAAUGAACUGCAUCAAAAGAUCAAACUCUUGACCCAUUUGGCUCAGUUUUGUGGGGACACUAGAGUAUAUAUUAGAAGAGGAAAUACAGGAAUGGUCAAGUCUGAGCUAGACAUGUUCUUAUUAGAACUCGGAAAGACGUCAAAUGUCAAGUAACUCAAUUGUGGUUAAAAGUUUUACUUAAUCUUAAAAAGGGGCGUGUCUUAGAGGCUCCUGAAAAUAUGCCUGAUCGUGGAUCUUCAAAUGAAAGUAAGCCCUGAAGGAAAACAGCAAGUGAAAAGGGGUGUCCUGGAGCCGCAGCGCCCAGAAGGGGCGGCGCCUGUGGCUCAGACGGCCAGGGCUCUGUGGCCACUGCAUGGUGGUGAAGGCACCUGAUCUGCAACGGGAUCCUAAAGACAACUUUUGAGUGGUUAGGAAGACCGUAUGGACCACAUACCACGUCCUUCGGUAUGAACUGUAUUUAUGUUACUUCUGGGGAGAUCACUGAAACUUGAUGGUAUACAUUUACUUUGCUCAAUGAGCGGAUGACUGUGAGGGCCUUUCCCUGGGUGAUUUUGAUUUAUUCAAAUUUAACUUAAUUUCUAAAAAUACAAAAUCAUAUUGGGGUAUUGUGAAUAAUUACUGCCUCAAGGCAAGCAUAUCUGUGUGAGUCUUAGUUGAAGUACUCUCAAAAGCUGUUUAAAAAGCAAAAUAUAAAAUGAAUUGUCAUCAGUGACCUAUGACUACUGUUACUCUAGCAGUUCUUCAGCGAGGAAAUAUGAUUAUACUUGAACGAAAUUCACUCUGAACCUUUCAAAUUAAAAGUAGACCAUGAACAUAAAAGGAGUCUAAGGAAAAUUUCAGAAGCUACUGACUUGCCAUUCCAAUCUCUCUGUAAAUCAUGAGCCAUCCUAUGGAUUUCUGCCUAGGUAGCUAAUGACCAGAAACCAGACCAAACCAUGAGAAAAGGAAUGUGCAAGACCAUUCUGGAAAAUCUCAAACACUCCUACAAAAACAAACCUUCUUUAAUUGAAAUUUAAUCUUUCUUGACCUUGUGCUUCAGGUUCCUCCACUUCUAGAGGUGUGAUAAGUAGUAUAUCCUCUGGAGGGUCCCAGUUUAAGGUAAAAGAAACACAUGAGCUAGAGCAGUACCUUUUCCAAAUAUCUGGGCACACUGUUUAUCAGCAGUUUGGCACCGUCCGUCAUAGCAGAACGCGGUCUCCGACCUGCACAGCUGGCCAUUGAGCGCGUAGGUGUCCGGAACGCAAGUACUGGAGGUCCCAUUGCAGUACUCUGUGAAAUCACACUCUUGAUCAACACUCUUUCUGCAUGGAGUGCCCACCACUGAUAUCUACGAGGGAAAAAGAGAAAGAAAAUCAUGUCCUGCGAAUGACCACCCUCAGUUACCUACUCAAGAGAAUUUUCAAAUAAAAUACAUCUGAUCAUGGAUACUUGAGGGAAUCCCAGAGUUCCCAUGGCUCUGAGUUUUUUGAAGGAAAAAUCAGGUACAGUGUUCAUUAUGCAGCCUGAAGAAGAGUAACUCUCUCAGAGAUAUGAAAGGAUCCUUUCCAACAGAGGAUUUGCAACUGCUUUGUGUUCUCCUCCCAGGAGGAGGCCAUCUAAUUCUACCGGCUUUUGGAGGGGGACAGAUUAGUUUAAACACACCUGUCCCUCAAAACUGGAGGAACAUUGCCUCUGUCUUUUUGUUCUUGGAGAGACCCAGGAGCCAAACAGCCUGAAAAUCCCUUGCUCGGAUUUUUACUAGCUUAUUUGUGUGGCUGAGGUACAGAAUCUGUUUUGCAGUUUCCUCAUUUGUAAACUUGAGAUAAUAAUCAUUCUGUCAGAGGAUUGUUAGUAUUAAAUGGAAUUAAUAUUUAAAAAGUGCUUAGAAUAACACAUGGAAUCAAUGUAUGAAAUAGGUUAUGACCAUCAUCAUCAUAUUUACUAUUAUCUGAGAGCAGAAGGGCCUUCUUGCAUAGCUCAGGUAAAGAGUAGAUCAGCUAUCAAAUAUUAUGGCCUGUUGAUUCAAUCAGUUAUCCAUUGCCUUCAACAAUGAAAUUCACAGGUCCAAAUGCUGACCCACUAUAUAUGCUCUCAUACACUCAGAGACAUUCUACAAUCCAGUCUGACUGAAUUAGCACUUCACAGAUUGAGACAAAGAUGGGUAAGGAAUGAAGUGGCAUCUUCAAAAUGACAAGAUAAAAAGGAACUUCCAAGCUAGAAUGCCAUACCUGUGAAAUCUAUAUUUCAAAAAUGUAUGAGAGAUAACGACUUUCCUAGGCCAAUAAUAAUUGACAGAAUUCAUUUUCAGCAGACCUAAAUUACAGGAAAGAGUAAAGGGAGGUCUUUAGGCACAAGCGAUGUGACAGUAAACAGAAAUCUACAAAAGGAAAAAGAGAG